rnacentral:ribozyme from 1 species
GGUAUGGAUCCGAAGCCUCUUGAAGGUUAACAAAGGCUCUCCAUACCCUACUUCGACUCAAUACGUCCCCGGCGUAUAGAACGGUAACAUGUCUCUCCAAAUAUCUGAGCUUGGGUAUACGGGGAAGCCCAACCCCUUGGGAAUAUGGGUGAUAUGGCUAAAUUGAGCGGA